CCUGGGUGGAACAUGAGAGCGGAAGUCGGCUGCUGUUUUUAUUUAUUCCAGGUUUAAGGGUUCAGUCCAGUCUGAGGCCGGGGUGGGCGACGCUCAGUGAGAACCACGACAUGCUCUCUCUCUCUAAAUUAUGACAUCUCUCUCUCUCUCU